rnacentral:sRNA from 1 species
UUUGUUAACAGAUGAACAGAUCAUGGAGGAUCUGAGAACAUUAAAUAAGCAUCUCCAUCCUCUCCUGAGCACUUGCCUGCGACACCCGCGGAAUCUCCAGCCCAGAGGUUUGAAGCUCGGAUAGAAGAUGGCAAACUGUACUAUGACAAAAGAUGGUACCACAAGAGCCAGGCCAUCUAUCUGGAGUCAAAGGACAACCAGAAACUGAGCUGCGUGAUCAGUUCUGUAGGAGCCAAUGAGAUCUGGGUGAGGAAGACAAGUGACAGCACCAAGAUGAGGAUCUACCUGGGCCAGCUUCAGCGCGGGCUCUUCGUGAUCCGCCGGCGCUCGGCUGCUUGACUUUCUGCAGUGCUCUUCUCUUGACCCUUUUUCUGGAGUGGGUUUUAUUUUUGUUUUGUUUUGUUUUCUCCUUAAUAGAAAAAUGUUAACUUACUGGGAAUAGCUACUCAGCCUUGGAAAUGGAGAGCACUGUCGUGAAUUCUUUAAGGCACUUUUGUGGCCGGACACUUCCAACUUUGUCAGUCUUUUCUGCCUCAACUUCUUCCAGACAUCAGUCACCAU